rnacentral:pre_miRNA from 1 species
UUUUAUGGAUAAACAAAGAAAGUAGUUUUUUGAGAUGGAAUCUAUGCCUGGUGAAGAUGCUGUGAA